rnacentral:tRNA from 1 species
GGGCGAUUAGCUCAAUGGUAGACCACAUCCUUGAUGCGGGUGGGGCAACAAGUUCGAACCUUGUAUUGCCCG